ACUUUAUUAGAAGAGACGCAUUUAUUAGAUAAAAAGCCAGUUCAUGCUUUUACAGUAUGAAAAUUGGUGAUUUAUAAUAACUUAGCAAAUCGCAAAGUGAAAACAGGCGAUAAAUCAUUCAAGUUUCUGACCUAUCAGCUUUCGACGGUAUGGUAUUGGCUUACCGUGGCAGUGACGGUUAACGGGGGAUUAGGGUUCGAUUCCGGAGAGGGAGCCUGAGAAACGGCUACCACAUCUAAGGAAGGCAGCAGGCGCGCAAAUUACCCAAUUCUAACAGUUUGAGAGAGGUAGUAACAAGAAAUAACAAUACAAGGCAGUUAAAAUGCUUUGUAAUUGGAAUGAUAGAAAUUUAAACCCUUUUUAAAGUAUCAAUUGGAGGGCAAGUCUGGUGCCAGCAGCCGCGGUAAUUCCAGCUCCAAUAGCGUAUAUUAAAAUUGUUGCAGUUAAAAAGCUCGUAGUUGAAGUUCUGCUGAAAGUAACCGGUCUGCUUUUAAUAAAAGUGGUAUCUUGGUAUGUAUUUAGCAAUGAUGUCCUUUGAAGUGUUUUUUACUUUAUUGUAAUAAAGCAUAUUCAGGACUUUUACUUUGAGAAAAUUAGAGUGUUUCUAGCAGGCUGACGCUU
rnacentral:rRNA from 1 species